rnacentral:rRNA from 1 species
AUUGAACGCUAGCGGGAUGCCUUACACAUGCAAGUCGAACGAGUGGCGAACGGGUGAGUAAUGUAUCGGAACGUGCCCAGUAGCGGGGGAUAACUACGCGAAACGUAGCUAAUACCGCAUACUAUUGGAGCGGCCGAUAUCGGAUUAGCUAGUUGGUGGGGUAACCGCUCACCAAGGCGACGAUCCGUAGCUGGUUUGAGAGGACGACCAGCCACACUGGGACUGAGACACGGCCCAGACUCCUACGUGAGGCAGCAGUGGGGAAUCUUGGAACAUGGGCGCAAGCCUGAUCCAGCCAUCCCGCGCGUGCGAUGAAGGCGUUCGGGGUGUAAAGCACUUUUGGCAGGAAAGCGGUACCUGCAGAAUAAGCACCGGCUAACUACGCGCCAGCAGCCGCGGUAAUAC